GGGAAAACCUGAGUAAGCAAAGUGCAGAUGAGGAGAGUUUUAACAUUGAUCAUUCCUUUGUGAGGCUGAAGAAGAAUUUUGGAAGAGCAUGAGAGGAGCACUUGGUGUUCAGAGUAUUCACCAGCGUCAGCUGCUCCUUUGAUAAGGCAGAUGGAUGAUGUUGCUGCUGCUGCCCCUGG